AACGAACGCUGGCGGCAUGCCUAACACAUGCAAGUCGAACGAGACCUUCGGGUCUAGUGGCGCACGGGUGCGUCACGCGUGGGAACCUGCCCUUAGGCUCGGAAUAACUCCCCGAAAGGGGUGCUAAUACCGGAUAAUGUCUUCGGACCAAAGAUUUAUCGCCAUUGGAUGGGCCCGCGUUGGAUUAGCUUGUUGGUAGGGUAAAAGCCUACCAAGGCGACGAUCCAUAGCUGGUCUGAGAGGAUGAUCAGCCACACUGGGACUGAGACACGGCCCAGACUCCUACGGGAGGCAGCAGUGGGGAAUAUUGGACAAUGGGCGAAAGCCUGAUCCAGCAAUGCCGCGUGAGUGAUGAAGGCCUUAGGGUUGUAAAGCUCUUUUACCCGGGAUGAUAAUGACAGUACCGGGAGAAUAAGCUCCGGCUAACUCCGUG
rnacentral:rRNA from 1 species